rnacentral:lncRNA from 1 species
CAUUGCCGCCAUAGUGUCGCUAUGCUGUCACCAGCAUGUCGUGACGCUGCCACCAUCAUGUCGUGACACUGCCACCAUCGUGUCGGCACGCCGUCACCAGGCUGUCACUGCUUUUGUCCCCGCAGUGCCACCACCAUGUCGUGACAUUGUCACCAUCUUGAUACCACGCUGUCACCAUCAUGUCGUGACACUGCCACCAUUGUGUCGCCAUGCUGUCACCAGCAUGUCAUGACAUUGUCACCAUCUUGUCACCAAGUUGUCACUGCGCUGCCAGCAGUGUCACCAUCUCGUCACCUUGCUGUCACCAUCAUGUCGUGACACUGCCACCACCUUGUCACCAAUCUGUCACCAUGCUGUCGCUGCUUUUGUGCCCACAGUGUCACCGCAGUGCCACCAUCUUUGUCGUGACACUGUCACCAUCAUGUCGUGACACUGUCACCAUCGUGUCAUCACGCUGUCACUAUGCUGUCGCUGCUUUUGUCACCGCAGUGUCACUGCAGUGCCACCAUCCUGUCGUGACACUGCCGCCAUCAUGUUGUGACACUGCCACCAUCGUGUCGUGACAUCGUCACCAUCGUGUCACCACGCUGUCACUGUGCUGUCACUGCUUUUGUCACCACACUGUCACCACACUGUCACCAUCAUGUCGUGACACUGCCACCAUCGUGUCGCCAUGUUGUCGCCAGCAUGUCGUGACACUGUCACCACCUUGUCACCAAUCUGUCACCAUGCUGUCGCUGCUUUUGUCCCCACAGUUUCACCGCAGUGCCACCAUCCUGUCGUGACACUGUCACCAGCAUGUCGUGACAUUGCCACCGCAGUGCCGCCACCUUGUCACCAUGUUGUCACCACUGGGUCGUGACAUUGUCACCAUAGUGCCACCACACUGUCACUGUCACAUUGUCACACUGUCACCACGUCGUCACCGUCACGGUGUCACACUGUCACCAACUUGUCACCACGCCGCCACCAUCAUGUCACGACAUUGUCCCCAACUCGCCACCCCGCUGCCGUCGUCACGUCGGCACACUGUCCCCACCUUGUCACCGUCGUGUCACCGUCGUGUCACCACACUGCCACCACCUUGUCACCAUCAUGUCACCAUCAUGUCACCAUCGUGUCGCCACCUCGUCUCAAAACUGUCCCCAACUUGUCACCGUGUUGUCACGACAUUGUCACCAUCUUGUCUCAAAGUUGUCCCCAACUUGUCACCAUGUUGUCACCAUGUUGUCCCCAUCUUGUGCCCAACUUGUCACCAUCGUGUCCCCAGCUUGUCACCAUGUUGUCACCACAUUGUCACCAUCUUGCCGCCAUCUUGUCUCAAAGUUGCCCCCAAUUUGUCACCACGUUGUCCCCAACUUGUCACCACGUUGCCGCCAUCUUGUCUCAAAGUUGUCCCCAACUUGUCACCAUCGUGUCACCACGUUGUCCCCAACUUGUCACCACAUCAUCCCAUCUUGUCACCAUGUUGCCGCCAUCUUGUCUCAAAAUUGUCCCCAACUUGUCACCAUGUUGCCGCCAUCUUGUCACCAUCUUAUCUCAAAACUGUCCCCAUCUUGUCACCAAGUUGUCCCCAUCUUGUCACCACGUUGCCGCCAUCUUGUCUCAGAGCUGUCCCCAACUUGUCCCCACGCUCUCCUGGCGUCACCGCGUUGCCACCAUCACACCUCCACGUUGUCCCCAACUUGUCACCUCCUCUUCUCACCGCAUCCCGGUGUCACCGCCGUGUCCCGGAGUUGUCACCGUGUUGUCACCAUCGUGUCACCGCGUUGUCAGCCAGGGGUUGGGGUGGACAGGGACAUGGGGACACGGGGGAGGGGGGACGUGGGGACAUCGGGGACAAUGGGGACAUUGGGGAGGGUUGGGGACACUGGAGAUGGGUUGGGGACAUUGGAGGGUUGGGGACAUUGGGGACAAUGGGGUGUUGGGGACAUUGGGGACAUUGGGGUUGGGAUGUUGGGGUCACCAUGGUUGGGACAUUGGGGACAUUGGGGCCACCGUAGUUGGGACACUGGGGACACUGGGGACAUUGGGGACAUUGGGGACAUUGGGGUGGGGAUGCUGGGGACUUUGGAGACUUUGGGGAGAUUGGGGUUGGGAUGUUGGUGACUUUGGGGACAUGGUUGUCCCGACGAAUCUGGGGCCGCUGUCUUUGAGAUAUUGGGGGCCAUUGGGGCCAUCAGACCCGGAUGUUGGGGACAUGGUUGUCCCCACGUCCCCAGCUGGGGUCCCCCACGGCGCUGGCCGACCCCGAGACGGAGCAGAGGCUGCGAGGGGCGGCGCUGAGGGGGGGUCACACCCUCUAUGUCCCCCGUGGGGCCCUGUGGGGUUGCGAGGACAUCCGGCGCAUGGAUGACAGCGGGGCGCUGGCCGUGAGCAUUUGGGGACAACGGUGACAUUGGACACAGCGGGGUUGGGGACGUUGUGGGGGUUGGGGACACCGUUGAGGUUGGGGAAGGCGGGGGGUUGAGGGCACCGAGGGGGCAGAGUGCGGUCUGGGGACACCGUGGGGUUGGGGACAGCAUAGAGGUUGGGGACACCGAGGGGACACCAUGGGGUUGGGGACACCAAGGAGACACUGUGGGGUUGGGGACAGC